GGGCCCGCACAAGCGGUGGAGCAUGUGGUUUAAUUCGAUGCAACGCGAAGAACCUUACCAGGGCUUGACAUACUACAAAUUCUUUGGAAACAGAGAAGUGCCUUCGGGAAUGUAGAUACAGGUGGUGCAUGGCUGUCGUCAGCUCGUGUCGUGAGAUGUUGGGUUAAGUCCCGCAACGAGCGCAACCCUUAUUUUUAGUUACCAAUUCGUUGGGUUCUCUAGAAAGACUGCCGGUGACAAACCGGAGGAAGGUGAGGAUGACGUCAAGUCAGCAUGCCCCUUAUGUCCUGGGCUACACACGUGCUACAAUGGUAGGGACAACAGGUUGCCAACCCGCGAGGGUGAGCC
rnacentral:rRNA from 1 species